rnacentral:tRNA from 1 species
CGGGAUGUAGCGCAGUCUGGUAGCGCACCUCGCUGGGGGUGAGGUGGUCGUCGGUUCAAAUCCGGCCGUCCCGACCA